rnacentral:rRNA from 1 species
AGAGUUUGAUCCUGGCUCAGAUUGAACGCUGGCGGCAGGCCUAACACAUGCAAGUCGAACGGUAACAGGAAACAGCUUGCUGUUUCGCUGACGAGUGGCGGACGGGUGAGUAAUGUCUGGGAAACUGCCUGAUGGAGGGGGAUAACUACUGGAAACGGUAGCUAAUACCGCAUAACGUCGCAAGACCAAAGAGGGGGACCUUCGGGCCUCUUGCCAUCAGAUGUGCCCAGAUGGGAUUAGCUAGUAGGUGGGGUAACGGCUCACCUAGGCGACGAUCCCUAGCUGGUCUGAGAGGAUGACCAGCCACACUGGAACUGAGACACGGUCCAGACUCCUACGGGAGGCAGCAGUGGGGAAUAUUGCACAAUGGGCGCAAGCCUGAUGCAGCCAUGCCGCGUGUAUGAAGAAGGCCUUCGGGUUGUAAAGUACUUUCAGCGGGGAGGAAGGGAGUAAAGUUAAUACCUUUGCUCAUUGACGUUACCCGCAGAAGAAGCACCGGCUAACUCCGUGCCAGCAGCCGCGGUAAUACGGAGGGUGCAAGCGUUAAUCGGAAUUACUGGGCGUAAAGCGCACGCAGGCGGUUUGUUAAGUCAGAUGUGAAAUCCCCGGGCUCAACCUGGGAACUGCAUCUGAUACUGGCAAGCUUGAGUCUCGUAGAGGGGGGUAGAAUUCCAGGUGUAGCGGUGAAAUGCGUAGAGAUCUGGAGGAAUACCGGUGGCGAAGGCGGCCCCCUGGACGAAGACUGACGCUCAGGUGCGAAAGCGUGGGGAGCAAACAGGAUUAGAUACCCUGGUAGUCCACGCCGUAAACGAUGUCGACUUGGAGGUUGUGCCCUUGAGGCGUGGCUUCCGGAGCUAACGCGUUAAGUCGACCGCCUGGGGAGUACGGCCGCAAGGUUAAAACUCAAAUGAAUUGACGGGGGCCCGCACAAGCGGUGGAGCAUGUGGUUUAAUUCGAUGCAACGCGAAGAACCUUACCUGGUCUUGACAUCCACGGAAGUUUUCAGAGAUGAGAAUGUGCCUUCGGGAACCGUGAGACAGGUGCUGCAUGGCUGUCGUCAGCUCGUGUUGUGAAAUGUUGGGUUAAGUCCCGCAACGAGCGCAACCCUUAUCCUUUGUUGCCAGCGGUCCGGCCGGGAACUCAAAGGAGACUGCCAGUGAUAAACUGGAGGAAGGUGGGGAUGACGUCAAGUCAUCAUGGCCCUUACGACCAGGGCUACACACGUGCUACAAUGGCGCAUACAAAGAGAAGCGACCUCGCGAGAGCAAGCGGACCUCAUAAAGCGCGUCGUAGUCCGGAUUGGAGUCUGCAACUCGACUCCAUGAAGUCGGAAUCGCUAGUAAUCGUGGAUCAGAAUGCCACGGUGAAUACGUUCCCGGGCCUUGUACACACCGCCCGUCACACCAUGGGAGUGGGUUGCAAAAGAAGUAGGUAGCUUAACCUUCGGGAGGGCGCUUACCACUUUGUGAUUCAUGACUGGGGUGAAGUCGUAACAAGGUAACCGUAGGGGAACCUGCGGCUGGAUCACCUCCUU